GUGAGCACUCCCCUACCCUUCCUUGGCAUCAGUGAGCCAGGUUGCAGGUCCUCAUACAGUGGCUGGUGUUACUCUAAGAGGAGAUAGGGACAGCCCAGACUGUGGGUAAAUGCUAUCCCAGCAUAUAGGAGCACACACCAUGCUGCAGCAGCCCCACCAGUGAGAAUGUUCCCUGGUGUAAUUGUAAGAGGAGCUGAUGGCAACCCUGUACGUGCAUGUGAAUGCUGUCCUGGCCUGUGGGAGUGCCCACUGUGCUGCCAUGGCCCCGCCAGUGGGAACACAGCUUGGCUUGACUGUAAGAGGAGCCAGGGGCAGCCUUGUGUGCAUGUGCAAAUGUUAUCCCAGCCUGUGGGAGCACGCACUGUGCUGCCACAGCCCCAGUGAGUGGUCCAGCUUAGACCCUGUGAAGAAGCCCCACCUACCAAGCAGAGUGGCCAGUGUGACUGUAAGCAGAGGGAGCAGCAGCUUGGUGCAUGUGCAAAUGCUGUUCUGGCCUGUGGGAAUGCCCCGUACCCACGCAACUUACAACAGAUGGGGUGGGGUCAGAAACAUGGCUCCUGCUUCCCCCCAGCAGUAGCAGGUGGAAUCUGUGAAGUGGUGCUACCACAAAUGCACCAGCAAAGGAUAAGUUCAUCAAACACCAUGAAAAACUAUAGUAACAAUUCAGAGCAGAAGGAAAAUGACAAGGCUCCAGAAAACAACCCUGAAGUCACAGAAAUUGACAAUCUAAAUGACAGAGAAUUCAAAAUAGUUGUCAAAAAGAAACUCAAUGAGUUACAUGAAAACUCAGAAAGACGGUUCAAUGAGCUGAGGAAUAAAAUUAAUGAGCAUAAGAAAUACUUUACCAAAGAGAUUGAAACUAUAUAAAAAACCCCCAGAAAUUCUGGAUAUGAAGAAUGCAAUGAGAUAAAAAUUAAUCUAGAAUCCUUAAAAAAUAGAGCUGAUAUUAUGGGGGACAAAAUUAGUGAUUUAGAGGAUAGAAAUGUAGAAAUUCUUCAGGUGGAGGGAAGAAAGAACUAAGAUUUAAAAAAAACCAGAGAAAUUCUUUGAGAAAUAUCUGACUGAAUUCAGAAAAGCAACAUGAGGAUUAUAGGCAUUCCAGAGGGAGAAGAGAGGAAGAAAGGAGCAGAGAGCUUGUUCAAAGAAAUAAUAGCUGAGAACUUCCCAAACCUGGGGAAAGAACUGAACUUACAAGUACAUGAAGCCAAUAUAACUCCUAAUUACAUCAAUGCAAAAGACCUUAUCCAAGGUAUAUAAUAGUAAAACUGGCAAAAGUCAAUGACAAAAAAUAUUAAGGGCACCAAGGCAGAAGAAAACAAUCUACAAAGGAACCCCUAUCACUCUUUUGGUGGAUUUCUUGACAGAAACCUUACAAGCUAGGAGAGAAUGGAAUGAUAUAUUCAGAAUACUGAAAGACAAAAACUUUUAGCCAAGAAUGCUCUAUCCAGUGAAACUAUCCUUCAGAUAUGAUGGAGAAAUAAAAGCUUUCCCAGAUAAACAGAAGCUGAGGGAGUUCAUUGCCAGUAGACCUCCCUUACAAGAAAUAACAAAGGAAUCACUCAUACCUGAAAUGAAAAGGCAAAGGUCUACAAAGCUUUGAGCAAUGAGAUAAAUAGACAGAAAAAAUAAGAAAACUGCAGCUCUCUGUCAGAACAGGUUAGCAAACACUUAAUUAUAACAUGAAAGAUAAAUGGAAAGAAAGCAUAAAAAAUAACUAUAAAUACUUUAAUUUAAUCACAGACUCACAACACAAAACAGAAUAAUUUGUGACAACUAUGACUCAGAAGGGGAAGAGGAAAAGUGUGGGAUUUGCUUAGGCUAAUGGAAAUAAGAAGUUAUCAGAAAAUGGACUAUCUCAUCUAUGAAAUCUUUUAUACAAACUUCAUGGUAACCACUAAACAAAAAAACAGAGCAGAGACACAAUUCAUAAAUAAAGAGAAAACUGAGAAAACCACCAAACUGUAAUGGCAGUCAGAAAUACAAGGGAAGAGAAACAACAGAAAUACAGAACAACAAGAAAACGAGAUAAAAUGGCAGUAUUAAUCCCUCCUAUGUCAGUAAUCACCCUAAAUGUAAAUGGAUUGAAUUCUCCAAUCAAAAGAUGCAGAGUAGCUGGAUGGAUUAAAAAACAAGACUAACAAUAUACCGCCUCCAAGAAACACAUCUCAGCUCUAAAGACAAACACAGGCUCAGAGUGAAGGGACGGAAGAUGAUACUCCAAGCAAAUGGCAAACAAAAGAAAGCAGAUGUUGCCAUACUUAUAUCAGACAAAGCAGACUUCAAGAUAAAAAAGGCACAGAGAGAAAAAGAGGGGCAGUAUAAAAUGAUAAAAGGGAUUUCCUACCAAGAGGACAUAAUCUUUAUGAAUGUAUAUGCAUCUAACACAGGAACACCAAAGUAUGUAAAGCAACUUAACAGACCUAAAGGGAGAAAUUAACAGCAACACAAUAAUAGUAGGGGACCUCAGCUCCCCACUUACAUCAAUGGGUAGACGAUCCAGACAGAAAGUCAAUGAGGAAAUAGUGGAUUUAAAUGAAACACUUGGUCAGAUGACUUAAUAGAUAUAUAUAUAGAGAAAACAUUCCAUCCAAAAAGAGCAGCAUACACAUUCUUCUCAAGUGCACAUGGAAUGUUCUCAAAGAUAGGCCAUAUGUUGGGAAAGAAGGCAAGCCUUCCCUAAUAAUUAGUGAUGUUCAACAUCUUUUCAUGUGCCUCUUGGCCAUCUGUAUAUCUUCUUUGGAAAAAUGUCUGUUCAUAUCCUCUGCCCAUUUUUUGAUUGUCUAUAAUUAACAAGACAAAAAAUAAAAAAGUGUUGGAGAGGAUGAGGAGAAAAGAGACCCCUCAUACACUGCUGGUGGGAAUGCAAACUGGUGCAGCCACUAUGGAAAAUAGUAUGGAGAUUUUUCAAAAAAUUAAAAAUAGAACUACCAUAUGACCCAGGUAUCCCACUACUGGAUAUUUAUCUAAAGAACUAGAAAUCAACAAUUCAAAGAGAUUUGUGCACCCCUGUGUUCAUUGUAGCAUUAUUCACAAUAGCCAAGAUGUGGAAGCAACCUAAGUGCCCUUUAACUAAUGAAUGGAUAAAGACGAUGUGGUAUGUAUAUACAACAGAAUACUACUCAGCCAUAAAAAAGACAAAAUCGCCCCAUUUGCAACAAUGUGGAUGGACCUUGAGGUUAUGAUGUUAAGUGAAACAAGCCAGACAGACAGAGAAACACUGCAUGAUUUCACUCAUAUUUGGAAGAUAAACACACAGAUAAAGAGAACAGAUUAGUGGUUACCAGAAGGGAAGGGGGUUGGAGGGGGUUGCAAAAGCAGCAGAGGGGCACAUAUAUACGGUGAUGGAAAAAAUUAGACUGUUGGUAGUGAGCAGGAUGCAGUCUAUACAGAAACUGAUAAAUAAUAAUGUACACCUGAAACUACACAAUGUAAUAAACCAUAAUGACCUCAAUAAAAUAAUUUUUUAAAAUAAAAAAAAUAAAGAAUAUAAGAAUCUCAAUCUUUUGGAGAGAAGCAAAGCCAGGACGGACUCCUCUGAUGCAGGGCAUGGACGCUCCAAGCAGUGAAAUGAUAACAAGGCCAGGCCCGGUUCACGUCGGUUUACUUCAUUUUUAACUGUCUGCAUCAGACUAUCGAAACAGGAGAUUUCAACCCAAGAAACCCAAGCCUAUUGCACUAGGAAGUGGUGAUUCCCCCUGAGUCAGACUGGAUCAUAUUUGAGGUCCUUUAAAACCUGGAGGUUUGAAGAAUUUUUUUUUUAAAUCCAGAGGAGGAAGAUUUCAGUUAGUGAUUGAACUGGACCUAGAAUUUUGGUUUCUUAAUUCCAAAUUCCACAUUCUGGCUGUGAAUAUGAAGGCCCCCCUCAUCCCCCUCCCUCCAGCCCAGUGCACCUCUGUGCCUUGAGGCCAUGGUUAUCUUGAACCACGUCUUACCAUACUCCUUUUUCUCCCCAAAGAUACUCCAUCAGUGGAGAGAGCCUGAAUUGGAGCUUCAUCAGACUGCAGACUUCUUUAGGGAGGAAUGGGUUGAAAGAUGCUGGAGAAACAAUCCUUUUUCCUGAGAACACUGUAAGCUAAAAGAGGAUAAAGAAGGGCCCCUGAGAAGCGAUUUACGGAGUAUUAUUUGCUCAACUAGAGAAGCAGCUCAGAGCUGGAUCUGUACGAGUUUGUGUGUUCUUUCUGCAAAGUGGUGCAGUCUGCCCACCGGCUGCUACUACAUGUAGAAGCUGGUGAUCAUUUGCUCUUCAUAUCUCAGUGUGGAUUCCAAUUUAAACGCAAAGUAUUAAAAUUAGGCACAAUAUAACUUCAUUUAAUUCGCUAACUCAGAAGUUAGAAUUAUGUAGAUGGAGAAAGGCCGAUGUUUACCUUCAUACUCUUUAUUUUAAAAGAGAGAAUGUGUGUGUAUGAGAGAGAGAGAGAUAAAUAGAGACAAACUAAAAUAGUAAAUUUUUCUUCUACUUAAAAAAGAUCUAUUUGUAUAAGGUGAUCGAUGCAUUCAUUAAAUAUUAUUACUUUCUAUUCAUUAAAACAUAUUUCCAAAGUAUUGCUACUUGAAAGAACUAUUAACUCUAAUUGAGAUUACUUCAUAUAUAUAUGGAAAAGAAUCAUAAAUUUCUUGAAAACGUAAUAAUUCAUAUACUUCCCUAGAUGCUUUGAUGAUCUCAUUCAUUCAUUUAGUCAUUCAACAAAAAUAUAUUGAGUGCCAGCUCUGCCCUAGGCAGUGUGCCAUCCAGCCCAAACUAGGAAAGUUUCAUUACGUAAUGGAACGAGUGAAAAGAAUCACUUUCUUGAAUUUCUUCUUUGAAAGUCACUUUAUGACUUCUACUAAUUUAGGAGAGUUUAAAUGCAAACAUAUGAGGGCAGAAACAUGGGUUAGGGGAGGCUUCCAGUCAUCAAACACAACACAAGUUGUUCCUUCACUGUUAAAGUCUAAUAGACCUGAACUAAAAAUCAAACCUCUAUGACGUUUUUACUAAACUCUGUUGAUAAACACGGAAGGAAGAUAUGGAGCCACAGAUGUGUUUAUUUGACUUAGAAAGGGCUUAUUAGGGGGCAAUUUUUGUGGUGCAUCAUUUUCUUCAUUGAUCAUGCACAAAUGAUUCUUUUUAUAAAGACGUAUCAUAAAAUCUCCAACAUGGCCUUCAAAAGGAAACAGAGUUCAAAGAAAAUAAGGAAGGGUUUGCUCAGAUCUUCCAGAGAAGGAAGGAAUCUCGUUGAAAAAACUAGGACAUCCUCUGUCUGACGGGGCAACUGAGAACCAGAGAAGUAAACAAUUUUGGGGAAGAAUAAAAGCAUUCAGGGACUUUGGAGGAUCUGAACCCAUCCUACACAUAUGAAAAAGUGCCAGUCUCACAGGAUGUCAGAAGGAGAAAUGAACAUGGAAGUGGAUUAAAACUCACCCCGUUCCUUAAGGAAGAAUUAAGGAAAAGUUAGCUACUUUGACACAGGGGGAAAUAGUCAUAAAUAAAAGCAUUGGUAACACAGAGAUUAUCCAAGAAUCUUUCAGUCCUUCUCAAUUUGACCAAAGUACGUUUCCGAAGUUUAAACCUGAAUAGGCAAAUGCCACACUACGCCAUUUCAAUGAAAGCGAUGGGAUUUUGCUGCUGCCUAGAUUUGGAUUUUAAUGACCCUCUGAAACCUGGUGGCCAGUCCCCUGUGAUCACAGUGAGAGUAAAAAUGCUAGAGGCAGUACUGUAAUUAACAUCAGUAUAGCUUCUUCUUACGAAAGAGAUUCAUGGGCAUUUUCCUGUUUGACCUCUUCAGCAAUUAUGUGUGGGGACCUAUGGUUUUCUCCAUUCUAGAAGUGGAAGAAACUGAAGUCCAGGGAGAUUAUGAGACUCAUGUACCACUGCAGACACUGGUUACUGGUGGGUCCAGGACAUGAGCUCAUGUCCUUACCCAAACAUUGGGAAUACUUUCAUUCUAUCCCAUUGUUUCUGACCAAAAAGUUAUGAACCUGUGGUAAGAAAGAUUGAUUGUCUGUGUCCAUUUGGGCUGUUAUGACAGAAAACCAUAGAUGGGUAGCUCAUAAACAACAAACUACUUCUCACAGUUCUGGAGGCCGAGAAAUCCAAGAUCAAGGGACUAGCAGAUUCCGUGUCUGCUGAGGGCCCAUGUCCUGGCUCAUAGAUGACUGUCUUUUUGUCAUGUUCUCACACGUCAGAAGGGGCAAGGGAGCUCUCUAGGGUCUCUUUUGUAAGGGCACUAAUCCCAUUCAUGAGGGCUCUGCCCUCAUGACCCAAUCAUUUACCAAAGGCCCCACCUCCCAACACCAUCGUGUUGGGUGUUAGGAUCUAACAGAUGAAUUUGGGGAACACAAACAUUCAGUUUAUAGCAUUAAUGUUGAUAAAAACAGACAUAGCAUGAUACUGAAAAUAUGAGCUUACAAGUAAAUGCUCCUGAACAAUUUAGCUCGUGAAAUUAUUUUAAAGCCAGCAAUCCUAGAUCCUUGGAGAUAAUACACAUGCCAAACUUUUUUACUAGCCUAUUAGUUUUUUUUUUUCCAGCAGGUAGACAGCUAUUUGAAAAGCUCUCAGUGGAAUGGCUUAAUUCUUUAAGAAUAGAUUUCCCAGUUUUUUGGGCUACACUGAGACACUAAGUUGUAUCAUCUGAGAAUUCUUGGGAUAGUCAAAUAUAGGAGGGGGAACCUGCUCAUUUGCCCAGUCCAUUAAGAUGAGAUUGCAGGAGGAAGUUAAUAAGAAUCUUUCAUAUAAAAUAACAUUUCCUGAGAUUUAUGUAAAAAUAAUGAAUAUAAAUGACUAUGGGGAAGACAGCCUAUUAGUAGAAAGUUUCCUUUUUCACCUAAUCACCAAUUAAUGUAACUUGGAGGGAAGCCAGCGUGGCAUCUCCUGACCUUCCUUUGUCAUUCAACAUCUCUCUGAGAGGGACAUGCAUUAACUUUGUGAGGUAGAACAGGUCUGUUGGGUCUCCACAUUCCACACAAGGGUUUCUCCAUCAAAACUGGUGGUAGCAAGGGGAUCAAGAGAUGGACAGACAUCCGCAGCUAAGAUAUAUCCCGUGUGGAAUGGUCCUCCUCUCCAAGAAGAGUAGGCAAUCACAUGAAUGUUCUGGAAAGAACCAUAGAGGAAGAGACUCAUCUGGGUUUCCAGAGAGGACGGUUCACCCUUGCCUAGUGGACUAGGUGGAUACUCACAGCCCCACACUCCAAAAUGAGCUUCAAGAAGUCCAGAGCAGGACUCUGCUGAUCCCAGCGCUUCCCACCAGUGGAGAGAGUGUAUUUUGAGGCCCGUCCCAGACUGCUUUCUGGGGUUUUCUUCUCUGGGUACUAAUAACUAGAUGAACCAGAGACACAACAACCAGUCUCUUCUCUCACCAGUGAUCUUGUGGUUCAUUUCUCCCACCUUACCCAUUCAUUCUUCCCCCUCAACAUACUCUUGGAAUUACUGUGUUUUUCUGUUCAUGUUUAUGCUGAUUACACAUUUGUUGGGCUUGUCUCCCGUACACCCUCUUUAAAGGGUGGGGAUGGGCCCCUUCUCCACUAUCCAUUAUCCAGAGUGUCUACUUACGGGACUCCAUGCCCUGAGGGGGUGCAGUAAAUGCUUGUUUACCAGCUGCCCAAUUUCUCCAUAUGUCCCCUCUUCUACUCUGGGAGCUAGUCUGACCAAACCUUUGAUCAAGUCUGAUGGAGGCAGUCGAGGUCAAUGCUGUUCAUAGUUAGAAGUCCCUCCUGUGACUGAAGCACAGAGCUAGGCUCUUUAAAUGAGUAAGAUGAGUACAUCUUAUUCAGAGCCUUUCAAGCCGGAGGAGACAUCAGUGCCAGCAGUUCUCUGCCCUCCUGUUAACUCACUCUGGUGGGUCCAAUUAGUUGUGAAAUGUGUCAUCAGUAAUUUGUUACUAAUAAUAAAGUACUGAAUGAGGAUGACUUAUUUUUUAAAAAUAAAUUUGAGUGGAUUCAGAGUUAUUUUUAUAAUAACUCUUCAUGAUUUUUGUAGCAUUAUUUAUGGGUGUGAAACUCUGUAGUUUUCAACAUUUUUUUCCCUUCCGAUGCACAUGCCCCAUGUACCCCCAUGGGCCUAUUUAAGGAGUGGUUGCUUCAUUUCAGCUGAAACGUAAGUAAGAUGACUGGUGGUGUGUGUGUGUCAACCAGCUUUCCAGCUCUGACUGCAUGCCUUUCUCACCAGUGUAAGGAAGCUUAUCUGAAAGCAAGCUAUGAUGGUAACAUUAUUACAGAUACCAUCUAUUAUGGGGAGAGGGAGAUAAACUCUGAUGAGAAAGUUUCUUGGAUAGGGCAGAUCUAAGCUGAGUCUUGAAAGGUGGGCACAACUUGGACAGAUAGCUCUGGAGUACGGGAGCCAGCCAGCAGUAAAAAAAGUUGGGCAAAGUUGCAAAAGAGGGAAGUGUUGAAAGUGUUCAGGGUCCUAUGAGUUGUCCAGCAUGGCAAAAAUCUUGAAGGGUUAUGGAAGAUGGAAGGGUUUACACUUAAUUCUGUAUAUAGUGGAAAGCCAUCUGAGUUAGUCAAAUCGGGCACAUUAACUUGCAUAUUUCUACGUGACAGACACAUAGAAUAGUUUUUGAAAAGUUCCUGAAUGGGUUUAGAUGUAUCUGUAAACUUUUUAGGGCUUUAAAAACAUUAUUUCUAAGUGUAGUAUGGUGGUUAAGAGUCCUGGCUCUAGAACCAGUUAGUUUGGGUUCAAAAACAGCCUCUGUAAUUUACUGGCUGUAGAACUAGGGUUAUUGUGUCUCAAUUUCUUCAUCUGUAAAAUGUGGAUAAUAAAGGUGCUUAUUUCAUGUAUUUGUUACUAAGUAUUAAAUGGAUUAAAAUAUAAGUGCUAAGUGUUAAAUGGAUUAGAAUACAACUUGGCAUAGAAUAAGCUCUCAGUAACUGCCAGCUGCUAACACGAGUAUUAUUAUUACCUUUGCUAAGUGACAAGGUGGAUGUUCUCUCAUCAUUUCCUGAUGAUGUGAGUGAAAUAUGACACAUCUUAAUGAAUCAACUCUUAUUUGUUGAGUGAGCAUUUCAGUCACUCUGUCACACUUUCUGAGCGACAUAGAGAAGUAAGAUGUGUUCACAACCCUCAAGGAUGUUCCAAUCCAAUGAGAAAAAUAAGAUAUACAAGUGUGGAAAAGCUAACCAACAACAAAACAAGGGUGUGCCAGUGUAUUAGAUAGCACAACCAGUGCCAAAUGAAGGUUAUGACAGCCCUUUUCUCUAAGAGUGUGGAGAAGGAAAUGAUGACAUGUGGGUUACAGUGCUUUGGGAAAUCUUUAAGAAUUGCAGAGUUUGAUCUGGGGGUUUAAGUAGGGUUCUGGUCACCUGUUUCCACCGUCGCUCCUCUGUUGUGUUCUCGCUCCUGCCCUAGAUGUGUGUGGAUCCUCUGGGGGCGUCCGUUGGAAGAAAGCCGCUUGCGGGUACUAGGCUGCCCGUCGGGGUCGG
rnacentral:lncRNA from 1 species